CAUUUUAAUAAAUGUGAGCUUGUCCACGUUGGCCGUGGACAGGCGGCUGCGCUUGCCUGUGAUAACCUCGUGCCGAUCGCACGUCCCUGUGACGGCGACAACACAUUCGGAUGUCUGCCCUAUCAACUUUCGAUGCAAUUUUCCGCGCCUACCAUGGUGACCACGGGUAACGGGGAAUCAGGGUUUGAUUCCAGAGAGGGUGCCUGAGAAACGGCUACCACAUGUAAUUACCCACUCCCGACGCUGGGAGGUAGUGA